rnacentral:rRNA from 1 species
AGCGAACGCUGGCGGCAGGCCUAACACAUGCAAGUCGAACGAAGCAGUCGGGGUUAGUGGCGGAGGGGUGGGUACCACGUGGGAACGUGCCCUUAGGUAAGGAAUAACUCAGGGAGAGAUGUGCUAAUACCGCAUGUGCUCUUCGGGGGAAAGAUUUAUCGCCUUUAGAGGGGCCGGCGGCUGGUUAGCUAGUUGGGUGGGGUAGUGGCGCACCAAGGCGACGAGCAGUAGCCGGUCUGAGAGGAUGAGCAGCAAGAUUGUGACUGAGACACGGCCCAAACGCCUGCGGUAGUCAGCAGUGGGGAAUCUUGCGCAAUGGGCGAAAGCCUGACGCAGCCAUGCCGCGUGAAUUAUGAAGGUCUUAGGAUUGUAAAAUUCUUUCACCGGGGACGAUAAUGACGGUACCCGGAGAAGAAGCCCCGGCUAACUUCGUG